ACUGUUUCUGUCCUGUUCUUCUGAUAAGCAGAGGCCUGAACAAAAACGAACGGUCCUCUGCCAGAUCACUCCGGCUGCAGUGGCAGCCGCAAUCAUCUCAGGCAAAGGAAGUUGUGGCGGGGUGUCACGACGCUCUGCCAAAACACGUGGAACACCUCUUUAAAUAAAACUCCCCGUACAUUGGGUACCACCAACACAAACUGAACAACGUGUUCAUGAAGCACACAGCAGUCACAAGGCGAAACCAGGCCGGGAACUACUUCUACUUUCCAAACAACAAAAAAAACACACACAAAAAAACAUGUGACAAUAAAGAUAGGACGCACAUCACUUUAUUCUUUCGAACUUUUAUACAGAGUAACCUGAGGUUAAGAUGGAGACUUUCCAAGAGAGUUAAAGCCUCUUUGUUGUAUUUGUGCUUGAAUGUGAUGGGGAGAAGGUUGCGCUCUUUUUGGAUUUGCAUCCGUUUGCAUAAACUAUUCCAUCAGCUUGUAAAAUCCAUCAUGUCCCAAUGAGAAGUGGUAGGCACAAACAAAACGUACUCUAGCUACAGCCAUCCCUUCUCUCCACCUUUGAUUCACUUAAAAACUACAUUUCGGGUCUUUGAUCCGUGGCGUGAGCUGUCAGAUCAGAUUAGUGUGACAGAAUGGACAUUAGAAGUAUUACACCCCCCUCCCUUUUUUUACUUUACUUUAUUUAAAGACUUCUUUUGACCGUGCCUUUGGGCUGCACUUCCCCUGCUUGAGCUGGGAUGCAGUUACAGCAGUUCGCCACCAGUUGGCACAUGGAGCACGGUGAGCACUCCUGACUCAGCGAGCCAACGGCAAUUUAGUGCAGUAACGGCUGGUCAGCGGAGGCGCUCACUGUCGCUCUUGUCUGUGUUAACAGUGUAAAGAAAAUAAAGAACCUGCGAAAAACACACUGUCUAAUCAUUAAAGUGUGCAACAAAAAUUGGUGGCCCGUACGGGGAUCAGCGGUGCUUCAGUAAAGAGAAAGAGAGAUCGUGGCACACCAGCGAUGGAGUUGGAGCAACUGCAGGACCAGCUAAGUAAGGCCCUAGUGCAGUUGAAAGUGGACCAGCUACAAGAGGUGUGUUUAUAUGGAAAAGUCUCAGCAGAAAACCAAACCAGGAAGCACAAGCUGAUCAGUCUAAUAAAUACAGCUGUAGAUACAGCUAUAGAUUGUGAGGAAGAGGAUGUGGCUUGUGAAUUCCUC